CCGUGCCAGACAGAAAUUUUCAAAGCUGCUGUGCUUGCACAAAGCUGCUUUUAAAAUUUCUGUCUGAUAGGGCGAUAGCCCGACAGUCCAAGAAAGCCAGAGCUUUCUUGGACCUGCACGG
rnacentral:sRNA from 1 species